AAACGGAACCCCAAAAGUAGCUGCCUUGUAGAGAAGAUUCGGCUGCUGUUGAGUUCCGUUGCU
rnacentral:pre_miRNA from 1 species